rnacentral:tRNA from 1 species
GAGGGUGUAGCUCAGUGGUAGAAUGUGUGCUUAGCAUGCACAAGGUCCUGGGUUCAAUCCCAGUACCUCUA